UACGGAAGGCAGCAGUGGGGAAUAUUGCACAAUGGGCGAAAGCCUGAUGCAGCUAUGCCGCGUGUAUGAAGAAGGCCUUAGGGUUGUAAAGUACUUUCAUCGGGGAGGAAAAAAACAAAACUAAUAAUUUUAUUUCUUGACGUUACCCGAAAAAGAAGCACCGGCUAACUCCGUGCCAGCAGCCGCGGUAAUACGGAGGGUGCUAGCGUUAAUCAGAAUUACUGGGCGUAAAGAGCACGUAGGUGGUUUUUUUAAGUCAGAUGUGAAAUCCCUGGGCUUAACCUGGAACUGCAUUUUGAAACUGAAAUACUAGAGUAUCGUAGAGGGAGGUAGAAUUCUAGGUGUAGCGGUUGAAAUGCGUAGAUAUCUGGAGGAAUACCUGUGGCGAAAGCGGCCUCCUAAACGAAUACUGACACUGAGGUGCGAAAGCGUGGGGAGCAAACGAGGGAUUAGAUACCCGU
rnacentral:rRNA from 1 species